rnacentral:rRNA from 1 species
AUACGGAGGGUGCAAACGUUAAUCGGAAUUACUGGGCGUAAAGCGCGCGUAGGUGGUUUAGUAAGUCGGAUGUGAAAGCCCUGGGCUCAACCUGGGAAUUGCAUUCGAUACUGCUUGACUAGAGUAUGGUAGAGGGAAGUGGAAUUUCCGGUGUAGCGGUGAAAUGCGUAGAUAUCGGAAGGAACACCAGUGGCGAAGGCGACUUCCUGGGCCAAUACUGACGCUGAGGUGCGAAAGCGUGGGGAGCAAACAGGAUUAGAUACCCCGGUAGUCC